rnacentral:snRNA from 1 species
AUGCUCACUCUUGCAGCACAUAUACUAAAACUGGAAUGAUAUAGCGAUUAGCAUGGCCCCUGCACAAGGAUGACAUGCAAAUUCGUGAAAUGAAUUCAUAAAUG